rnacentral:lncRNA from 1 species
UCUCACUUGCUUAUUCGCUUGGGAUUUGUUUUGCGCCCUCUCUUGCGGACUCGUUCCUUAUUACUAACGCUAACCCCGGCUUGUAGUUGUGUUUAUAUUUGUAAAUUUCAGUUUCGCCCUAUUCACCCCCCCUCUAGGCGACUAUCACAAAUGACCAUCCUCAGUAAGAAGAUAAAGACGGGGUAUACUUAUAUAAGAAGGCCGAGCCCACCGGCACUUAACACCAUCACAGCAGCACAAAGUUAUAUCCUGAAAAACAACAGGGAAUAAAACCCUGAGUAUGGAAUUACUUAGCAAGACUUACUCGACUAAAGAAAAGACUCUCAAGGAUAUGCUGGAUUUAGGAAUCAAGGAGAGGCUUUAGCAAGAAUCAACUUAGAUACUUUCGCAGAAAUAGCUUACUAAAGUGAGUCCUUACUUUCAAUAUUUUAACGCCAGAUUAAAUAUUAAUAGACUCUGUUUGCAUCUAGUCUAAUUUCACCAUCUCAUCAAUACAACAUCAUUUUUAUUCAUGAGGUUCACAUCCUGACUUAGGUUGCAGGUCGGAGAUCAAGUCUCCACUCUCCGGGGAUAUAACGGCGAUCCGAAUCGAUUUACUCAGCUGAGGAUCUCUAACCACACGACAUAUGUAGCACUUAACCCUUGCAAAUGUCAACCGUUCCCACAGAUCCUCCACAACGUGAACCGGUCCGCGCUACCCGGGAGCACAGUAUCCUCCAUCCAGCCUCUAGCCAGGAGGGUACACGCUACUCCCACCAUCUCCCACGCCCAGUGCGCGGUUGUCUUUUCACGUAUGGAAUAGCCGGGUUCAAGCUUACCCUGUCCCAUUUCCAGGGCAUGUGGCUAGUUAAGAUAGUCCUUGAUCAACAGGCCUACAUACGCAUCCAAUCCUUAAUUAACCUGGGCGGAGCAUCACCUGUUCCUAGCCCAAGUCCCGAUUUAAGUACUUCCACCCUUAGGAUUGUUUGUAUUCCUUAGGAUGAAAAGAGCAUUAUAGGGAACUUUGCAGUAAGAUCCCACCACGCUCCCAAUGAAAAAUAUUCUUGCAGGUAGAAGCCAUCCUUCCUCAGGAUAACCCCUGAGCUAAGCAUUAACGCAAAGGACAACCUCUAUCCACAAGAUCUAAGCAGGGCUAAGCAUUUUUGUAAAUCAUGUUUUGAUACUUCAUCAGAAGUAUCUAUAAAGGUAUGGAUAUCAAGGAAAGGCAAUGCAUCAAGAAGGUUUCAAACAACUCCUAUAAACCUAAUGCACAUUUCACUAGACUUAAAGUGUGCAGAAAUUAUUUAAAAACACAAGGAAGGGGUUGCAUGCACCGGGGCUUGCCUUUGUUGCAGUGAAGUGGUUCUAGAUCCCUCUAUUCAAUACCCAGUUAGAUGGCUUCAUCCACUUGAGGAGCAGGCGUUGGAGUAGACUUCUUCAAAUACCACCUCGUCUAGGUGUUCUACAAGUCAAUUACAAAUACAUGAAUGCUUAUGUAAUGACAUGUAAUGCAAACUCUCACAAGGAGAGGUGGGGAACAGAAACACUACAACUAAAGCACAUGACAAGAAUACACCUAUUUCUUAACGCUCGAUUAAAGUGACCAAUUUGAAUUCACUUAGGUAAACCAGAGAACUAAUCCAUCUUUGAUCUCAUCCAAAAGUGUAAAACUUCAUAAGCAACUGCAUCUCUUCCCUAAAUAAACUUAGCUCCUUUCCAAAGCAUUAAUUCAUACUUGAUUAGGGAUUUUCUCACCCUAUUUGUGACUUUACAAUGCUUCUAAGAAAAAGGUUUCUAAAAAGGCUCCAAAUUUUAACAAGUGCUCACUUUAUGAUAACAAGCCUUUCCAAGAAUUUCCAUGAUUUUUGGUGCUCAACUCUGAUUUCAAAAAUUCCAAUAAUCCUUCCAAAGACACCUUUGAUUCACUUAAAAUUUGCUAAUUGAUCUAAAAAUCCUAAAACCAUUCUUAUCUGAGAUCUCAUGAAUUUAGACAUCCAACAAAAUUGAUCUCACUAUUUUUGGAUUUUUCUACAAUUUCUAGCACAAUUUAUAAGUUCUCUGUUAAAGAAAAGACCAAAAUAUGAACAACAUUGGGCCCAAACUAGACCACACCACCCAAGUUGGGCAGAGCCGACCCAUGGCUGACAGCUCGCACCCACGCCGUGCGCGCUUUGCAAAAAGAACCUUGUUGCCCAGACAAAUCCAAACGAGCCCGAGCCACUGUUAAUUGGUGUCACUGACAGUUUCGCUUAGACCCCUCGACUUCAUCUCUUUUGCACAAACUCAGUCGCGACACCGUCGUGCUCAACCCCGGCGGUCAGACGUCCAAUCCGCCAUGGUGGUGUGAUCUAGUCAACGACGACGACACCAUCACGAUCCCCAGGCAACGGUGGACUCCAACCUGUGUUCAAUCGACCGCGGGGACACUAAGACCUAACUACCGAUGGCGGCGGCGACAAACCCAGUUCAGUGGGCUCAAUUCUAUGGGGACGGUCUGCAGCGGCGCGACCCUGUUCCGGUCAACACAAGACGGUAGAACUGAAAAUACCAAUGGGAAAACCUUCUCUGACCUUAGAAGAACGUGGAACGAGGGUCAUGCGGGCUGGUCACUCCUUGAGACGUCUUGGCCACGGCGAGGUAGGCAGUCAGUGGGCGUGGUCACCACUGACAGAAGGAUGACAUACUAGACCCUGGGACUGGGCAAACUUGGGCAGGGGAGAGGUGAACACUGGUGCGGACAGAAGACCUACCACACUCACACACGCU